UUGUCCUUAAAACGAUGCUCCACGCAGCUCUUGCAGCAAUUUGUAGUUAGAACCUCAAGGAUUGUUAGUCGUUCAUUUUUUAGUAAUAGAAAAGCAUUUUUCAACGGCGUUGCAGAUUACUCCUCUCUGGUGUGGUAGUUCGGAUAACGGAGUACCGUGUCUUGUAGGAUUUACAUUGACUUGAUGAGAGGAGAUGUAGGGAGCAGUAUUUUGUCCACCUUUGGAAACAAGCAGUGCAGCGGCUGUGGGAAUCCAUCGAGAUGCUCAAAGGAAUUCGAACGUUUUCGAUGCGUGAGAAACUUGUGAUUUCACCAAAUCGUGCCAGAUGCUCUCCCUUUGAAGGGGGAGCUAACCACAAGCAGGCCAAAGUUGGUUUAUGGUGCAGAGUUCACGCCAAAUGCAUCUGAUAAGGUACCAAACGUGCAAUCAGUGUCUACAAUUAUGGACCAGAGGAUUCCGUCAACGUCGACAGUGGAUUCAUAUCCUCUCUCUUUCGCAGUAAUUAGAGCCGCCUCUGUAGCAGCGUUGGUUUCCUUAGUCAUUAUGAUUACACUAGCUUUGCUUCUGCAAAUGGCGUUUGAGUCCAGCGUGUGCCUCAUCGACGCAGGAAGUACAUCCACGUCUCGAACAGUCUGGGUGAACCUUCCCAUCGAUAAACCAGGGGAAGGGUACUUUCUAAUUCCGUUACAUCUUUUUAAAACAACAUUCAUAGACCGCAUCGUAAUGCCGCUACUAUUCACACUCCUGAUCAUCGUAGCAUCCGCACUUCUGGUACAAAAUCUAGAAUUGGAGUAUUAUUUCUAUUAGAUCUUCAUUAAUUCUUCUCAAAACCUCCGUCUAUAUCCCGCAGCUUUAGCUAUUGGAGUUGGAUUCUAGAUUUAUUGAAAAAAUACAUUAUAUAGGAAUAUCCAUGGAUCAUAGGUUGGAAGUACCAGAGAGCUUCACAAUCUUGCUUUUUUUCUGUACACACUCAAUCCAUUCCAUCAAAAGAGCUUGCACUUACAAAGCACA